CUCUGUCUCUCUCUCUUUCUGUUUCUCUUUCUCUUUCUCAUUCACACAAAGUCAUCAUCAUCUUGUAUAUUUUAUUGGGUAAUCUUUUGUUUGUUCUUGUUGGAUUUCGUUUUAGAUGGAGCUUCAACUGGGUCUCGCUCUUCCAAGAAAUCCAAUCAAAGGCUUCGACUUGUAUAACUUUGGUUACGAAGCUAAGGAAGUAGCAGCUGUUUCCAAACCUAUUCAUUAUGACAGCAAUAAACGCAGCUUUGACCAAGCUUUUGAUGACCACAACAAUAACACUAGUCGUUCCACUGCAGCCGUGCCUCGAACGCUGCCUUUGUUCCUCUGGAACAACAACCAACCAAACCACCACGAUAACGACGACGACCCUGAUAAGCACCAAGACAACAACUCCCGCUUUACCAUUGUCAUCAAAAAUGAUGGAGAUGGUUUGGUAGGGUGGCCUCCAAUUAAGUCAUGGAGAAAGGAGGCUUGCUUCCACAACCACAACCAUGGUCAUGGUCAUCGGGCGGUGUGGAAUGGCUCUGGUGGUGGCAGAGGAUCAUCAAACCACCACCACUCUACAUUCGUUAAGGUGAAGAUGGAAGGAGUGGGAAUAGCAAGAACACCUUGAUGGACAUGUUUGACAAAUGUCAGAUGGAUUCAAACAAUUAUAAACUCACUUACCAAGACAGAGAGGGAGACUGGCUUCUUGCUCAAGAUGUUCCUUGGAGAACUUUCAUCAGAUCGGUGCAACGUCUCAAAUUGGUUAAGAGGAGUGAUUAAUGCAUGCAUGGGUCAUCAAAAUUUGACUGUUCUGCUCCGUAGACCCCAACGGGCUUCUUUCACAUGAUUUUUUGAAUGACCAAGACUGCUGUGUAAAAUAUAGAGAUAUUGUGUAGAACCCACAUCCUAAUCACUUGUAUAACUUAUGGAUCACCGUAAUUUUCCCCGCAGUAGAAGAAACAUGUUUUAUUAUAUACUAGUAGCCAGUAGGUAGGGGUAGCACUCUUCUUUUUCUCCUUCCGCCAAGACCCAAGAAUUAGAGCACUUCAAAUCUAAUUUGUGAAAAAAUAAAAUAAAAUCUAGUUUUGGACUUGGUUGGGCUCCGACUAUGUCAAGCAGUGCCUGAUCUGAUGGGCUAACGGCUACUCCUAAACUGGGCUAAUGUUCUAAUGUCAAGCAUUUGCUGCAUUCGACCCACCUUGUGAUGUUGUGUGUGUUUGCAACAAUGCCUUCACAUGCAUUUCAUAAAUAAAUAUUCAAAUUUUUUUGGC